AGGCUGCAACUCGCCUACAUGAAGUUGGAAUCGCUAGUAAUCGCGAAUCAGAAUGUCGCGGUGAAUACGUUCCCGGGUCUUGUACACACCGCCCGUCACACCACGAGAGUUACAACACCCGAAGUCAGUGGCCUAACCGCAAGGAGGGAGCUGCCUAAGGUGGGGUAGAUGAUUGGGGUGAAGUCGUAACAAGGUAGC
rnacentral:rRNA from 1 species